rnacentral:tRNA from 1 species
GCGCACGUGGCGGAAUCGGUAGACGCGCUAGCUUGAGGGGCUAGUGAUCGCAAGAUCAUGGGGGUUCGAGUCCCUCCGUGCGCA